UCUCCCGCAGCGCCGGGGCUGGGCGAGCAGCUGGAGGCGGUGCUGAGUGGAAACGGCGGGCUCGGGAAGCUCUGAGAGGAUUUUGUUUUAUCCUCUGAGCUGUGCUGUUAUAACCGAGAAAAUGUAUUUCUGAGCUGAAGCUGCAUCAUGUGUCAUUACUGUGAACUGCUGUAAGAAGCGCCCUGCAAAGAGGAAGCCCGGAGAUGUUAGUGAGCACCAGGGAUGAGCUGCAGUGUGGGUUAUGCAGAUUGCUGCAGCCAGCAUGGGAAGGGCUGUUGUCUGUCUGUGAUGGCAAAAGCGAUGUUCUGCUUGAAGCAAAACAGUGAUGUUUCUCUCGGCUGUACAUAAUGCUUCCUUCUCCUUCAUUUUCGCUCCCCAUUGUUGACAGAAGCUCCUCAUGCGGUAGUCAUAGAAAGAUAAUUUCAAUAUGGUUGCUCUAUAGUGAAAAGAUACAAAGCCCUGUCCCAGCUCUGUAAUGAAAAAGUCUUAAAUUAAAAUGAUUAUUGAUUUUUAA